UACGGGGGGGGCAAGCGUUGUUCGGAAUUACUGGGCGUAAAGGGCUCGUAGGCGGCCAACUAAGUCAGACGUGAAAUCCCCAGGCUCAACCUGGGAACUGCGUCUGAUACUGGUUGGCUUGAAUCCGGGAGAGGGAUGCAGAAUUCCAGGUGUAGCGGUGAAAUGCGUAGAUAUCUGGAGGAAUACCGGUGGCGAAGGCGGCAUCCUGGACCGGCAUUGACGCUGAGGAGCGAAAGCGUGGGGAGCGAACAGG
rnacentral:rRNA from 1 species